GUUCUGCAAGAGUAAAGAUGCCUUCCCAUGCUGUUACCACAGGCGCAGUGCACUUACUAUUCCGAACAGCAAACCCAGGUUCCCCACCAGCAUCAACAGGCAAUCCUCUUUUCUUUGUUUUUUUAGAAUUCCGGAAGAAAAGUGUAACUACAAUAGGUACGAGAACACCAACGAUGUAUGCACUCAUUUCUUGAAGACCUCAGGCACCAAGUGUAACUUCAGC
rnacentral:misc_RNA from 1 species